UGCGCCCAUUGUGACGCGCGAAGCUUGGAGCAGAGCAAAGGCUGCCGGGCUCAGCCCGAGCGUCAGUGCGGCCUGGCGAGGCGCAGAGAGAGCGGGGACUCUCGCAGUGCUCGCUGUUAACGCACAUCAUGUCCGAUAGGAAGCGGAAGGCCUCCAGCUCGGAGGAGCCAGUGUGUGCGCUGUGUGGCCAGGCAGAUGUCGACCCGGACAUCUGCGGGCACACACUUUUUGAGACUGGGAUUCGUGUCCAUGAGUUCUGCUUGACGUCUGCCAACAUCACGGCUAAAGCAAGACCAGGAAUUGAGGUCCUCCCGCUUGCUGCCAUCGCACGCAAGGUCAGGCAGGCAAACAAGAAGCAAUGCUGUGUUUGCGGCGAGAGGGGGGCUGCCGUCACAUGCGCAGAGAGAGGCUGUGCACGCAGCUUCCACCUGCCCUGUGCCAAGGACGGGGAAUGCAUCACCCAGUACUUUGGAGACUACAGGUCCUUCUGCUGGGAGCACCGCCCUCAACAGGCCACUCAGGAAGCUCCAGCAGAAGGCACCAUCUGCCUCAUCUGCUUGGAGCCUGUGGGGGACAGCUUGUCCUACCACACCAUGGUGUGCCCAGCCUGCAAACACGUCUGGUUCCACCGGGGCUGCAUCCAGCAACAGGCCUUGAGUGCUGGCACUGCGUACUUUGAGUGCCCCGGUUGCCGAGACUACAUUCUCUUCUGUGAAGAGAUGUCCAACAUGGGGAUCCACAUCCCAUUAAGGUUGGUGUCCUGCCCAGUUCUGCUGACGUUAAGGCUGCAGUGCUGGGCCUGCCCAGGGACUGGCUCAGCAGCCAUGGCCCUCGGCUGUCGCAUGACCGUGUGCCCCAGCUUCAUGGAGAAGCUGGAAGCGGACAUGGGGUGGAUGAGAUGGGAUAACCUUGGAUCUUGUGCUGGGCACACUGGGGGCUCAUCGCUUCCCUUCCCUGCUCUUGUAGAGACGCAUCGUGGGAGGACGAGGAGUCCUACGAACCACUUGUAGAGAUGCACAGCCGCUGCGACGCCAGCCAGUGCCUUUACCACGGAGGCAGAGAGCAGGCACAGAGCAGGGGGUGAGUUACCUCAGCAGCUCUCUGGGGCUCUGCGGGAGAUCUCAGCCUCACCACAGGCUGGGGGAGCAAGCACUGAGCAACGGGGACGUGCUGCGCCGGGAACUCCCUGGCUUGGAUCACUUGGCCCUCACAGCCACAACCUCUUUGCUUCCGCAGGCCCUGGGAGCUGAUCCUGUGCAGCUCCUGUGCUGCUGAGGGCACCCAUCGACAGUGCUCCCACUUGAGCAACACCACAGACAUGUGGGAGUGCACCAGCUGUGCUGGCCUGGCUACCGCCUCCAGCGCCGACGCUGAGUUCGCCGGUCCCAGCACUGCCAGCCAGACGGCUCCGGGUCCAUCCAGCAGCUCCAUGGAGCCUGAGACCUUUGGCUCCAUGCCCGCCAGCCAGGAAGCGUUGGGGACAUCACAGAGCUCCCAGCUGCCUGAGCACAGUGACCUGCCGAGCGUGCCUGAGACGGAGCAGGGGACAAACGGUGCACGUUUAUCGGAGGACCGGGCUACCCCUGAGCAGCUGCGAGGACGCCGUGGGAGCAGGCGAACAGCAGCCCCCCGUGCUGACAGCAACUCCCACACAUCCACCAGGCGGAGGGCAUCAGGCUCCUCCAGGGCGUCUCCGGCAGCCGCACGCAGAAGACGGCGCAGGCAGCGAGGAAGAAGCCGCACACGAAGCCGCUCCCCGCUGCAACGUCGGGACCCGAGCUCCCAGAGCCGGCCAAGAAGACGCCGUGGCAGCAGGCGAAGGCCAGCCUCAAGGGAGCAGAGCGGCACCCGCAGAUCAACAAGAUCUGCAACAUCGAGAUCCCCGAUGGCUUCCAGAGUGCCCCGACGCAGGGGACCGUCCAGGCAAGGAGGGCGGGCCCUCAGCCAAAGUCCUCCUCCAGGGAGACGUCGGGCAAACAAUUCCCGCAGCUCACCCCAAAGAGGCAGCAGGAGCCGGGCCCAACAGCGGAGGCCAUCCCGGGAAUGAAGCUGCUCCCAGGAACAACAUCAGAGACAAAGUCCCCACAGACAGCCCCCGAGUCUGCCUAGGAGCAGCCGUGCGCCAGCCGUAGAGUGGCCUGGGCUGGAAAGGACCACAAUGCUCACCUAGUUUCAACUCCCCUGCUCUGUGCAGCAUCACCAACUGCUAGACCAAGCUGCCGAGAGCCACAUCCUGCUUGGUUUUCAACGCCUCCAGGGAGGCGGCAUCCACAACAUCCUUGGGCAAGCUGUUCCAGACUGUGUCACCACCCUUUGUGUGAAAAACGUCCUCCCAAUAUCCAGCCUAAACCUCCCCUUCCUUAGUUUAAAACCAUCCCCCCUUACCUAUCGCUAUCCGCCCUCGCAAACAGUUGU